CUCGGCCCUUAUCGAAGCUGCCCCGCUCCGUCCGUGGCGGGUGUAGUCAAAAAGGAGCCCAAAGUGAUCUUUUCCUCGACGGUCGCUGUUCGGUUUGCGGUAACCGGCCCGCAACAUUUCGGGAAAAGACAUGA
rnacentral:snoRNA from 1 species